UGUCCAGGGAUGGGAAUCGAACCCACAUUGUUCCGCUUACUGGGCAGAUACCAUGUCCACUUUCACAUCCCUGGAC